CCUACGGGUGGCAGCAGUGGGGAAUAUUGCACAAUGGGGGAAACCCUGAUGCAGCGACGCCGCGUGAGUGAAGAAGUAUUUCGGUAUGUAAAGCUCUAUCAGCAGGGAAGAAAGUGACGGUACCUCAUUAAGAAGCCGCGGCUAACUACGUGCCAGCAGCCGCGGUGAUACGUAGGGGGCAAGCGUUAUCCGGAUUUACUGGGUGUAAAGGGAGCGUAGACGGCAGCUCAAGGCAGAAGUGAAAGCCCGGGGCUUAACCCCGGGACUGCUUUUGUAACUGAGUAGCUAGAGUGCAGGAGAGGUAAGCGGAAUUCCUAGUGUAGCGGUGAAAUGCGUAGAUAUUAGGAGGAACACCAGUGGCGAAGGCGGCUUACUGGACUGUAACUGACGUUGAGGCUCGAAAGCGUGGGGAGCAAACAGGAUUAGAUACCCCAGUAGUC
rnacentral:rRNA from 1 species